AGUGAACGCUGGCGGCGUGCCUAAUACAUGCAAGUCGAACGGAGUGGCGCACGGGUGAGUAAUGUAUAGCUAAUCUGCCCUACACUAGAGGACAACAGUUGGGAACGGCUGCUAAUACUCUAUAGUGUAGGAUGAGGCUAUAUUGUAUCAGCUAGUUGGUGAGGUAAUGGCUCACCAAGGCUAUGACGCAUAACUGGUCUGAGAGGAUGAGCAGUCACACUGUAACUGAGACACGGGUCAGACUCCUACGGGAGGGAGCAGUAGGGAAUAUUGCUCAUGGGGGGUAACCCUGAAGGAGCAACGCCGCGUGGAGGAUGACACUUUGCGGAGCGUAAACUCCUUUUGUUAGGGAAGCGGUACCUAACGAAUAAGCACCGGCUAACUCCGUGCCAGCAGCCGCGGUAAUUC
rnacentral:rRNA from 1 species